rnacentral:tRNA from 1 species
GGGAGAGUAGCUUAAUGGUAGAGUGUUUACCUAGCAUGCACAAGGCCCUGGGUUUGAUCCCCAGCACUCCUA